rnacentral:lncRNA from 1 species
CCUAGUUCCUCGUACAUGCGACCGAACGCCGCAUUUUUAGCUUCCGUGACCGCCAUCUUUGCUUCUUUCCUCGCCACCUUGUAGAUCACCAUGUUCAUUCUCCGUUCUUCCUCGCUUGUGCUCCCUACCAACCUAGCGAACGCCGCCUUCUUCACCUCCACUUUUCCUUUGACUACAUCGUUCCACCACCAAUCACCCUGAUGUCUGCCUGAAUAUCCCU